CUACGGGAGGCACCAGUGAGGAAUAUUGGUCAAUGGGCGCGAGCCUGAACCAGCCAUCCCGCGUGCAGGAUGACGGCCCUAUGGGUUGUAAACUGCUUUUCUAUGCCAAGAAACCUGAUUACGUGUAAUCAGUUGCCGGUAGCAUAGGAAUAAGCAUCGGCUAACUCCGUGCCAGCAGCCGCGGUAAUACGGAGGAUGCAAGCGUUAUCCGGAUUCAUUGGGUUUAAAGGGUGCGCAGGUGGGCUUGUAAGUCAGUGGUGAAAUGCUGCCGCUUAACGGUAGAACUGCCAUUGAUACUGCGAGUCUCGAGGAUGGUUGAGGUAGGCGGAAUGUGUUGUGUAGCGGUGAAAUGCAUAGAUAUGACACAGAACGCCAAUUGCGAAGGCAGCUUACUAAGCCAUUACUGACGCUGAGGCACGAAAGCGUGGGGAGCGAACAGGAUUAGAUACCCUAGUAGUC
rnacentral:rRNA from 1 species